UCUAUACUUACAUAUAAGCAUACAUAAGUAUAUAUUGUAUAUUACAUAAGCAUUAUAUUUAUACAUACUAUAUAUUUAUAUAUUAAAUAUAGUAUUUAUAUAUAAACAUAAUAAUAUAGUAUUAAACGUAGUAUAAGUCAUAUAGUAUAUUUGAAUAUAAUAUUAAUAUAAUAUACUAUAUUCAUAAUAUAUAAAGUGUAUA
rnacentral:lncRNA from 1 species